rnacentral:rRNA from 1 species
UACGUAGGGGGCAAGCGUUGUCCGGAUUUAUUGGGCGUAAAGAGCGUGUAGGCGGCCUGACAGGUCUGCUGUGAAAACUCGAGGCUCAACCUCGAGAUGUCGGCGGAAACCGUCUGGCUAGAGUCCGGAAGAGGAGAGUGGAAUUCCUGGUGUAGCGGUGAAAUGCGCAGAUAUCAGGAAGAACACCUAUGGCGAAGGCAGCUCGCUGGGACGGUACUGACGCUGAGACGCGAAAGCGUGGGGAGCGAACAGG